rnacentral:rRNA from 1 species
UGGGGAAUAUUGGACAAUGGGCGCAAGCCUGAUCCAGCCAUGCCGCGUGAGUGAUGAAGGCCCUAGGGUUGUAAAGCUCUUUCACCGGUGAAGAUAAUGACGGUAACCGGAGAAGAAGCCCCGGCUAACUUCGUGCCAGCAGCCGCGGUAAUACGAAGGGGGCUAGCGUUGUUCGGAUUUACUGGGCGUAAAGCGCACGUAGGCGGACUAUUAAGUCAGGGGUGAAAUCCCGGGGCUCAACCCCGGAACUGCCUUUGAUACUGGUAGUCUUGAGUUCGAGAGAGGUGAGUUGAAUUCCCGGUGUAGAGGUGAAAUUCGUAGAUAUUCGGAGGAACACCAGUGGCGAAGGCGGCUCACUGGCUCGAUACUGACGCUGAGGUGCGAAAGCGUGGGGAGCAAACAGG